ACUCGACUCCUGCUUCCUUCAGA
rnacentral:miRNA from 1 species